rnacentral:rRNA from 1 species
CAUGUGGUUUAAUUCGAUGAUACGCGAGGAACCUUACCUGGGCUAGAAUGUGAGUGACCGGUGGUGAAAGCCACUUUUCCGCAAGGACACAAAACAAGGUGCUGCAUGGCUGUCGUCAGCUCGUGCCGUGAGGUGUUGGGUUAAGUCCCGCAACGAGCGCAACCCCCAUCUUCAGUUGCCAUCAUUAAGUUGGGAACUCUGAAGAAACUGCCGCCGUAAGGCGUGAGGAAGGAGGGGAUGAUGUCAAGUCAUCAUGGCCUUUAUGCCCAGGGCUACACACGUGCUACAAUGGUAAGGACAAAGGGUUGCUACCCAGCAAUGGGAUGCUAAUCUCAAAAACCUUAUCUCAGUUCGGAUUGCAGGCUGCAACUCGCCUGCAUGAAGCUGGAAUCGCUAGUAAUCGCGCAUCAGCAAUGGCGCGGUGAAUACGUUCCCGGGC